GGAUAACCUUGCGAAAGUAAGACUAAUACCCAAUGAUAUCUCUAGAAGGCAUCUGAAAGAGAUUAAAGAUUUAUCGGUGAUGGAUGGGGAUGCGUCUGAUUAGCUUGUUGGCGGGGUAACGGCCCACCAAGGCAACGAUCAGUAGGGGUUCUGAGAGGAAGGUCCCCCACAUUGGAACUGAGACACGGUCCAAACUCCUACGGGAGGCAGCAGUGAGGAAUAUUGGUCAAUGGACGAGAGUCUGAACCAGCCAAGUAGCGUGCAGGAUGACGGCCCUAUGGGUUGUAAACUGCUUUUAUAAGGGAAUAAAGUGAGUCUCGUGAGACUUUUUGCAUGUACCUUAUGAAUAAGGACCGGCUAAUUCCGUGCCAGCAGCCGCGGUAAUACGGAAGGUCCGGGCGUUAUCCGGAUUUAUUGGGUUUAAAGGGAGCGUAGGCCGGAGAUUAAGCGUGUUGUGAAAUGUAGAUGCUCAACAUCUGAACUGCAGCGCGAACUGGUUUCCUUGAGUACGCACAAAGUGGGCGGAAUUCGUGGUGUAGCGGUGAAAUGCUUAGAUAUCACGAAGAACUCCGAUUGCGAAGGCAGCUCACUGGAGCGCAACUGACGCUGAAGCUCGAAAGUGCGGGUAUCGAACAGGAUUAGAUACCCUGGUAGUCCGCACGGUAAACGAUGGAUGCCCGCUGUUGGUCUGAAUAGGUCAGCGGCCAAG
rnacentral:rRNA from 1 species